AAUCAACGCUGGCGGCGUGCCUCAGACAUGCAAGUCGAACGCGAAAGUCCCCUUCGGGGGGCGAGUAGAGUGGCGCACGGGUGAGUAACACGUAGGUAAUCUACCUUUGGAUUGGGAAUAACCACCGGAAACGGUGGCUAAUACCGAAUAAUGCAGCGGCACCUAAUGGUGACAGUUGUUAAAGCGGGGGAUCGCAAGACCUCGCGUCUGAAGAGGAGCCUGCGGCAGAUUAGCUAGUUGGUAAGGUAACGGCUUACCAAGGCGAUGAUCUGUAGCCGGCCUGAGAGGGCGGUCGGCCACACUGACACUGACAUACGGGUCAGACUCCUACGGGAGGCAGCAGUCGGGAAUUUUGGGCAAUGGGCGAAAGCCUGACCCAGCAACGCCGCGUGAAGGAUGAAAUCCUUCGGGAUGUAAACUUCGCAAGAACGGGAAGAAUAAGUAAGAGUUAAUAUCUCUUACGAUGACGGUACUGUUUGUAAGCUCCGGCUAACUCCGUGC
rnacentral:rRNA from 1 species